rnacentral:lncRNA from 1 species
UGGUCACUGAGGAAGAAUAUAAGUUAGCCUCGUAGUGACCAUGUGGAAGUCCUGACCUCGCUUGCAGACUUGACCUCUGGAUGUGACAAGGUAGCUUCACUACAGCUCUACUAUUUAAUCCUGGAAACUAAAAACCAAAAAAAAAAAAAAAAAAAAUCUAAAAGCAAGAAAGAUGCAGACUAUUUCCUAAGAAGUCAGAAGAACCCAAUGUAUUCUGGAGGGCAAAGAAAAACAGGGUGAAUGUUUACAGUUAUUUGGGGGGAGUAAGGUGUGUUUUGGGUUCUGUUUUUGUUUUUUUUUUUUUUUGUCUUUUUUAGACUAUAAAAUUAACUUCUGCAACUUUUUCCCCUCUUCUGAAGCAUUUCAUCUGACAAGCUAGGUUCAUUUUCUUGGCCUUUGUAGCAACCUUUUUUGAUUGCUUAACUUUCCCUAUAUAACUGUGCAAGACUGUUAUAUGACAUUCCAAAUCAAAUGGCCAACACUGAUUCAAUUUUAGAGUUGUUUUUGUUGGUGGUUUUUGUUUUUGUUUUUGUUUUUGGUAAAGGGAAGAGGGGAGGAGAGGGAAAAGUAAGCUUGUUUUUUGUUUGCUCGUUUGUUUUUCAAAUUUAUCUUAAAAGGUGAGGUUCUGUGUUCACUGAUACAUCCCCUUCCUUCACCGGGCUCAUGAAAAGAAAUGCUGAAUCAGCAAAUAGAGUGAACGAACAAUCAAGAUGAGAUGGCUGCUGUUGAUGUGAUUCUCUAGGUUACUACCUUUCUUCCUGCUGCAAAUGCUGCAUGACACUAAGCUUACAGGUAACAGAGCACCAUAAGGCCUGUACUUUUAAGGAUGCUUAUGACUUUCUGCAUGCUUACCUAUUAUUGACUCAAUAUAUGUUCUCAUUGUUAAAUUAAAUUCUAUCUAACCAUAGCCUAAUUUCACAAUUCAAGUUAAGAGCUAAUGUAGUGUAAAAAGGAAUAUUGUUCAGAUACUAUGGCAGUAACUUUUUAUCUUAAAAAUGUACAAAUACAUUAUUGUCAUUUACAUUAUUAAAGAUUUAGUCAUUAUUGUUUCAGAUUAAGUGAUGAUUUUGCAUCUCUAGUAAGUCACAUCCUGCUUCCAAAGUAUACUUAUUUUCUAAAACUAUUAGCUUCUAUUUCAAGGUUUAGUCAACCAAGAAACUUGGCAGAUCAUAAAAUACUUUUUAAUGCUUACUAAUAAUUGGCCACAAAAAUAAAUCAGAACGUGCAUGGUGUAAUUCUAAUGCUGCAUUGCUGAAACUGCUGUAGUGCUGGGCUAUCUACUGCUACAUUCUGAUUUGCUCUCUAUAAGCUGCACUAGCUUUUUAUCACAAGCUGCAGAAAUUCUACUAUCCCUGCCCUUUUUUUUCCUCCUUUGACAAAUCUGAAAAUUUCUUGAGGUUUUAAAUUAACCUUCUAAUACCACAAUAACUGAAGGCUACUUACCAACUAUAAUUUCUUUUCAUUCUAAACUAUCAAGGUAAAUAAAACCCAGGUGCUCACAGACUAAAACCUUUCAGUUCUUUGAAGUGAUACUUUCUAAAAGUUGACGAUUCUGACAGUUAUCCUUUAUACUAAAAAGAUUAAAGAAUCAAAACAACUUAAACUCACCAAAAUUAGAUAUUUCUACAUCUAUUUGAAUUUGUAUUCAACUCAUAUUUGUAUUUAACCCAAAGAGAAGCAUCAAAGUGCAAACUUCAGGUAAGGAACUAAUAAAGAAAAAAGAAUGACAAA